UACGGAGGGUGCGAGCGUUGUCCGGAAUCAUUGGGCGUAAAGGGCGCGUAGGUGGCCCGGUCAGUUCGUGGUGAAAGCGCGGGGCUCAACCCUGCGUCGGCCAUGAAUACUGCCGCGGCUGGAGCACUGUAGAGGCAGGCGGAAUUCCGGGUGUAGCGGUGGAAUGCGUAGAGAUCCGGAAGAACACCGGUGGCGAAGGCGGCCUGCUGGGCAGUUGCUGACACUGAGGCGCGACAGCGCGGGGAGCAAACAGG
rnacentral:rRNA from 1 species